ACGGGAGGCAGCAGUGGGGAAUAUUGGACAAUGGGCGCAAGCCUGAUCCAGCCAUGCCGCGUGAGUGAUGAAGGCCCUAGGGUUGUAAAGCUCUUUUGUGCGGGAAGAUAAUGACGGUACCGCAAGAAUAAGCCCCGGCUAACUUCGUGCCAGCAGCCGCGGUAAUACGAAGGGGGCUAGCGUUGCUCGGAAUCACUGGGCGUAAAGGGUGCGUAGGCGGGUCUUUAAGUCAGGGGUGAAAUCCUGGAGCUCAACUCCAGAACUGCCUUUGAUACUGAAGAUCUUGAGUUCGGGAGAGGUGAGUGGAACUGCGAGUGUAGAGGUGAAAUUCGUAGAUAUUCGCAAGAACACCAGUGGCGAAGGCGGCUCACUGGCCCGAUACUGACGCUGAGGCACGAAAGCGUGGGGAGCAAACAGGAUUAGAUACCCUGGUA
rnacentral:rRNA from 1 species